rnacentral:rRNA from 1 species
GAUGAACGCUAGCGGCAGGCUUAAUACAUGCAAGUCGAGGGGUAGCAAGAUUGUAGCAAUACAAUUGUUGACGACCGGCAAACGGGUGCGGAACACGUACACAACCUUCCUACAAGUGGGGAAUAGCCCAGAGAAAUUUGGAUUAAUACCUCGUAACAUAGCGAUGUGGCAUCACAUUGCUAUUAUAGCUUCGGCGCUUGUUGAUGGGUGUGCGGCUGAUUAGAUAGUUGGCGGGGUAACGGCCCACCAAGUCUACGAUCAGUAGCUGAUGUGGGUGCAUGAUCAGCCAGACGGGAACUGAGAGACGGGCCCGACUCCUACGGGAGGCAGCAGUAAGGAAUAUUGGACAAUGGACGCAAGUCUGAUCCAGCCAUGCCGCGUGAAGGAUUAAGGUCCUCUGGAUUGUAAACUUCUUUUAUAAGGGACGAAAAAAGGUCUUUCUAGAUCGUCUGACGGUACCUUAUGAAUAAGCACCGGCUAACUCCGUGCCAGCCGCCGCGGUAACAC